rnacentral:rRNA from 1 species
UACGAAGGGGGGCUAGCGUUGUUCGGAAUUACUGGGCGUAAAGCGCGCGCAGGCGGUCUUCCAAGUCAGUGGUGAAAGCCCGGAGCUCAACUCCGGAACUGCCAUUGAAACUGUUGGACUUGAGUAUGAGAGAGGUGAGUGGAAUUCCCAGUGUAGAGGUGAAAUUCGUAGAUAUUGGGAAGAACACCGGUGGCGAAGGCGGCUCACUGGCUCAUUUCUGACGCUCAGGCGCGACAGCGUGGGGAUCAAACAGG